GACGUCAUAACAUUAGAAGUGAAUCGUGUCAGGAUAGAAAUAUAGCAGCACUAAGCAAUAUCUUUUGUGUAUGGCGUCUUUUU
rnacentral:SRP_RNA from 18 species